rnacentral:rRNA from 1 species
UACGUAGGGUGCGAGCGUUGUCCGGAAUUAUUGGGCGUAAAGGGCUCGUAGGCGGUUUGUCGCGUCGGGAGUGAAACCUUGGGCUUAACUCAGGGCUUGCUUUCGAUACGGGCAGACUAGAGGUAUGCAGGGGAGAACGGAAUUCCUGGUGUAGCGGUGAAAUGCGCAGAUAUCAGGAGGAACACCGGUGGCGAAGGCGGUUCUCUGGGCAUGAUCUGACGCUGAGGAGCGAAAGCGUGGGGAGCGAACAGG